rnacentral:lncRNA from 1 species
GGACUAUGGAUCAGGUACUGUGCUCAGCAUCAGAAAAUGGGAUGACAAUGAACAGAGUAACAGGACUAUAUUUCUGAAAAAGGAUGAACUUACUGGAAACAGGAUUGCGUGCCUGAAAUAUAUCCAAAUGGAUAUAAAUGUCAACUCAGUUCUGGGCUGGAGAUAUAGAUUUGGAAUGCACCAACAAUGCAGAUGGUAAUCCUGGCAUGCGAGUAGGUGAGAUCAUCCAGGGAGAUGGCCUAUAAUGAGAGCCUACAACAUGUCAGGGCUCAAGCACCUCUUACUGCCUCCUCACUCUGGAACCAAAUGCCUUACUGUCUGCACUGCUCCCCAUUGCCUUCCCUCCCGCCUCACCAGUUGAUCCCUAUACCUCCUUCCCAAUGACCUCCAGGAGGCCUCUAACUUACAGUGACAGGAUCACAGAAUGUGAAUUUUGAACAGAUCUGAAAAGUUAUUAAGUUCAACUCCACAGAGGUUCCUAGGAGAAUGUUAACAGUCCAGACCUUUUUCACUACAUCAACCACGGAUGAUUGGCAUAUAAAAUCCUACUUAACCUUUACAUAACUGCAAUACCAGGAAACAAAUAUGUCAAUAAAAGGAAACAUCAUUCAAU